ensembl:misc_RNA Gm27956 predicted gene, 27956
GCCGGGCGUGGUGGUGCACACCUUUAAUCACAGCACUUGGGAGGCAGAGGCAGGUGGAUUUCUGAGUUCGAGGCCAGCCUGGUCUACAAAGUGAGUUCCAGGACAGCCAGGGCUACACAGAGAAACCCUGUCUCAGGAAAAAAAAAAAAAAAAGGAGGUAUAAGUAUAGGUAUAGAUUUUUGAGACAGGGUUUCUCUGUGUAGUCUUGGCUGUCCUAGAACCAGCUCUGUAGACCAGCUAGUCUCAAACCACCUGCCUCU